AGAGUUUGAUCAUGGCUCAGGAUGAACGCUGGCGGCGUGCCUAAUACAUGCAAGUCGAGCGGCAGCGAGUUCCUCACUGUGGUUCGGAACAGUAGAUAGUUUAUAGGUUAUAGUUGAUAGUGAAUUCACUAAAAACUACAAACUGAAAACUAUAAACUUCAUUCCGAGCUAGAGUGAGGAAUGUCGGCGAGCGGCGGACGGCUGAGUAACGCGUAGGAACGUACCCCGAAGUGAGGGAUAACUGCCCGAAAGGGUGGCUAAUACCGCAUAUUAUCUACGGAUCAAAGCAUUUAUGCGCUUUGGGAACGGCCUGCGUAUGAUUAGCUUGUUGGUGAGGUAACGGCUCACCAAGGCGAUGAUCAUUAGCUGGUCUGAGAGGAUGAUCAGCCAGACUGGGACUGAGACACGGCCCAGACUCCUACGGGAGGCAGCAGUAGGGAAUUUUCCACAAUGGGGGCAACCCUGAUGGAGCAACGCCGCGUGCAGGAUGAAGGCCUUCGGGUCGUAAACUGCUUUUGUAUGUGACGAUUAUGACAGUAGCAUACGAAUAAGGGUCGGCUAACUACGUGCCAGCAGCCGCGGUCAUACGUAGGACCCAAGCGUUAUCCGGAAUUACUGGGCGUAAAGAGUUGCGUAGGUGGCAGAGUAAGCAAACAGUGAAAUCAUGUGGCUCAACCAUAUGCCCAUUGUUUGAACUGCUCAGCUAGAGCAUGAGAGAGGUCGCUGGAAUUCCUAGUGUAGGAGUGAAAUCCGUAGAUAUUAGGAGGAACACCGAUGGCGUAAGCAGGCGACUGGCUCAUUGCUGACACUCAGGCACGAAAGCGUGGGGAGCGAACGGGAUUAGAUACCCUAGUAGUCC
rnacentral:rRNA from 1 species